rnacentral:rRNA from 1 species
CAGCAGCCGCGGGAAUACAGAGGGUGCAAGCGUUAAUCGGAAUUACUGGGCGUAAAGCGCGCGUAGGUGGUUUGUUAAGUUGGAUGUGAAAUCCCCGGGCUCAACCUGGGAACUGCAUUCAAAACUGACUGACUAGAGUAUGGUAGAGGGUGGUGGAAUUUCCUGUGUAGCGGUGAAAUGCGUAGAUAUAGGAAGGAACACCAGUGGCGAGGGCGACCACCUGGACUAAUACUGACACUGAGGUGCGAAAGCGUGGGGAGCAAACAGGAUUAGAUACCCGCGUAGUCCCUGUCUCUUAUAC